rnacentral:rRNA from 1 species
CAGCAGCCGCGGUAAUACAGAGGGUGCGAGCGUUAAUCGGAUUUACUGGGCGUAAAGCGUGCGUAGGCGGCUUCUUAAGUCGGAUGUGAAAUCCCUGAGCUUAACUUAGGAAUUGCAUUCGAUACUGGGAAGCUAGAGUAUGGGAGAGGAUGGUAGAAUUCCAGGUGUAGCGGUGAAAUGCGUAGAGAUCUGGAGGAAUACCGAUGGCGAAGGCAGCCAUCUGGCCUAACACUGACGCUGAGGUACGAAAGCAUGGGGAGCAAACAGGAUUAGAUACCCCAGUAGUCCCUGUCUCUUAUAC